rnacentral:rRNA from 1 species
CAGAGGUGGCAAGCGUUGUUCGGAAUUACUGGGCGUAAAGGGCGAGUAGGUGGCCUUCUAAGUCAGACGUGAAAUCCCCCGGCUUAACCUGGGAACUGCGUCUGAUACUGGAAGGCUUGAGUAUGGGAGAGGGAUGCAGAAUUCCAGGUGUAGCGGUGAAAUGCGUAGAUAUCUGGAGGAAUACCUGUGGCGAAGGCGGCAUCCUGGACCAUAACUGACACUGAAUCGCGAAAGCUAGGGGAGCAAACGGGAUUAGAUACCCCGGUAGUCCUAGCCCUAAACGAUGAAUGCUUGGUGUGGCGGGUAUCGAUCCCUGCCGUGCCGAAGCUAACGCAUUAAGCAUUCCGCCUGGGGAGUACGGUCGCAAGGCUG